CCGUCACUGAAUUAUAAACUCAGAUAGUCUAGCACCAAAGUACAGUGAGUUGUUUACAAGUUACUGUGGUGAUCUCAAGUCAGAGGGAUAUUUAUAUCCAUACCAUUUGCGAGCUACUCUUGACAGUAGAGUACUUUGUAGUUGAUCACGUUCAGUAAUGAUGUACUCCUAUAUCUCACCUGCAUGCCAUACUAGUAUCUUCACACUAUUUGGAUAUGGGGACAACCAAUGCAUAUGGCAUAC
rnacentral:lncRNA from 1 species